GAUUUCCAUUUUCAUUUUAGAAAAAAAAAUGUUUCUUGCUUCCAAUCCAUAAGUUUAUAUGUCGCUUUUCACAGGGACCCAGCACAGUGUUGGGAUAGUGUAAAAAAAACGAAUGUCAGAUACGACAGCUUCUCAAUGGGAGUCUCACAUGGCCGAGGUGAUGUGGGGCAGUGUCGUUAAGGGAAACGUAUAUUCCUUUUUUGACUUCAUCAAGGAAAUCUAUCCUCUUGACAAGCCAGCAGUAUAUACCAACAGCACUCCACUGUUUGAUACACGGACAGGUCCAAUUACAGAAAACGAGAAAAUGGAACCUGCAUUUUCAGAUGCCAAUUCGGAAUCCGCAGUUAACAUCACAGUGAGAUGAAGCAGUGUUGUGUGGAGAGAGACAUAUAGUGUGUAUUAUCUAUAUAAGGGCAGUGGUCCCAUAGACCAGUAAGUGUAAUCUUAUUUUAUACUUUGAUUUAGAUGAACCUGAUAACAUAGCCACUUAAUAACCAUGACAUGUAUGUGUAAAAUAUGUUGAUGUAUCUUAUAUUCAUUUUAUUCUUAAAUUAAUAGCUAAUUACAAUUGUUUGUAAAGAAUAUAGAGACAUAUGUAUAAAUGGCAAUGAUUUACUUCUAUGAUAUUAGGAUUAUGAUAUAUAGUUGUUUUCAUUGUUCUAUGCAUUGUAUGUAUGUUAUGAAUUUAACCUAAUAGGAAAUAUGUUAUGUUUAAUUUAUUUGCAGAGCCUAUGUAAAGUGGAUUUACUAUGUCUCUACACCUAGAUGCAAUAAAGAAUACAGUGAUUGAACUCCGUCUUUGUUUUAUUAUUAAUAUUAUGGAACAAAGCCCGGUAACACUGUGUUCAAAUAUAUAGACUGAAGUGUCCCAAAUAUAUCUAACUACCUGUAUUGAAAUAGCUUUUGUCCAAGGGGCAGGACAUGAAGUGGUUGCACACUUGGUUAAAGCGAGCGAACUAGUUGCAAACUUGACAAAAUGGCGAACAAGGCGUGAUUUUUUGAAACGGGUGAACAAAUUUUUGCCAGGCAAGUCGGGUUCUUUGUUAUUUUGAAGUUCAUUAGUAUGUCUUUUCCAUAAUGCAAUAUAUAUGCCACACUCGGUUAAAGGUUUCAGCAUCCUAGAUUUUGUUUUGAC